rnacentral:misc_RNA from 1 species
GCUCGUUGUUUUACCGUUGGCGGCUAAUAGACGCUCGACGUCGUCGCUUAAUGUAUAUAUAUAGACGUCCGAAAAUAGACCCCUAAAACGGCUGAAACUUUAGGGAAAUCAAACGGCCACUCGGCUUGAAUCGAUUACUUUUUAUAGGAAGAAAAUGCUGUUCCUGUUUGUCACCGGUUUUUUAUUCGGGAAAAGGAUAAAAGAAGUAAAUUUGUUAAUCGACCGACCAGCAGGUGGCGCUUAUAGUUGUCCCGUUUCAGACUUUACUUGGCGAGCAAUGAAGAGGUGUACGUUAUUGUCCGUCGUGUUUGACAGAUAGCUUCAACUAGUCAAUGUAGUUAUUGGCAUCUAAGAAGGAUUUAAGGAUACUGUUACUGGAAUAUUUGCGAAGUAGUACUUGAGAUAAAGAAGUUGUGAAUAGGAGGAGAAAUUGGAAAGAGGAUGAGCAAAAUUACAUCAACUACCAUCAUUUUUAUCCUAAUUAUACUACCCAGCGGCUUUACACUGGCUGGGCGUAGGACUAAUAGCCGUCGAAAAAAUUUUAAUCCACAAAAAAAGAAAACGGAUUAUAGUAAAGCUGUAACGGUUGGUGCGAUUUUACCAAAGUCUUAUGCUUUAGGACGCAAAUAUACAACAAUGGCUAAGCAACUGGAACCAUUCAAUAAAAAUUUCUCAGAAAAUCUUAAUUCGUUUUUGCAUUUUGAAUUCAAAAUGUUGGAAUCAACUUUUAAACCGUCGGAUUUAUGGAGAGCCAUGUGUGACGAUGGGUUGUUCAAGACUAGAUUCAAUUCGUUAAUCUAUGUUCAAACUGCCUUCACUUCUAAAGCGGAGAUUCUACAGCCGUCUUCCGAGCACCUGAUGAGCGUGGCCCAAUUCUAUCAGAUACCAGUGAUCGUGUGGGAUUCCCCAGGGAUUAUCCAGGUUCGUCCUUCCAAAACUCCCUGCCGUCCCAACCCGUUUUAAACGCGUUUAUAAUUAAACGCUUACCGAUUUCACCCUCAUUUUAUUCCUUUUCCAAACUGGUCCCGGCAGACGAAUAGGGAACGCCUUCUAAUCCAAUUAACGCCGUCCAUAGCCCACCAGGGCGAAGCCAUGCUGAGCCUUUUGAGAAGAUACGGAUGGAAUCGUUUCGCAAUCGUUACAGGACGACUUUCGGGUCACGACACAUUUGUCAACACCAUCCGGGAUCUAGUUGAUAAUUCCGGCGAAUUGUGAGUAUAAAAUUAGUAUUUACAUAGAGAACAUACUGCUUAUCAAGCAGGCAUCUAAAAUCAAAUAAAGAAAAACUAGACGAAAUGUCCGCUUCAGUACAUAGUGUAAUUUGGCCAGACGGAACGUCUAAUUAGGACGUCAUCGAAGGUCACGCGAGCAUCUUCAGUUAGGAGGUGAAAGCAUUUUUCGGUCGAAAGUCGAACAAAUAAGAAAAAAGGCCAAUAAGUGAUCGAAAAAUAGACUAAAGAACCUUUUAAUAGCGAAUAUAAUAUAAAGUGAGGGGCCGAUGAGGGGGAACUCGUUAUCGAAUUGCUGGAGUCUAUUAAUUUUAUAAAGGUUUUGCUUAGGAGUCAGUUUCGUUGGAAAUAUUUUACGCUUCGAAUUUUUUCUAUACCUACUUUUGCGUCGUUGAUAAAAGACUUUUUUUUUUUUGACGCCUCUCUUUUCUCUAUUCUAUAUAUUUCGCAACAAAAUGAUUCCGAUUGGUGGUUAAGGUGCGAUCAAGCGUUAAAAAAGAGCGUUAGGACGUAAAGUAUUUCCAGUUUUUCCUCUUCUCUUCCAUCGCACUGGACGCCUAAUAAAUAAUCUAAAGAAUAAAUUAAAUUUGCACCAUUUUGCCUAUAGAUUGACAGUAUGUUAAAUUUAGUAAAGAAAACAGGAAAUAUAGGACUAAAUUUUCUUAAACAUCAAGGGAAGGAAAAGGUCGUGUGACCUAGAGUAAGUGAGCCUGUACGUGUGACGCAUUAAACAAUAUAAAGAGAAUUUUAACAAUUGAGUAACUUCUAAUUUAUUAUUAUUCACCUAAAAGUAAACCUUAUAUUAAAUUGAGUGCAGUUUCGAUAUUACGACGACUGUUCAUCUACCAUCUAUGGAAAAUGAAACUGUUACGUCAGAGCUACAAAAACUUCAGGCAGCUGAGAGUCGUGUAAUGUUAUUGUAUUCGUCAAAAGAGGAGGCAACACAGAUAUUUAAAGUUGCCGAACGUAUGAAAUUAUCUGGCAAAAAUUACGUUUGGAUAACUACUAAGUGCGCCAUUCUUAAAAGUACUCUUGGUGCCGAAUUGGAUGAAGAUCGAGGAAGGUUCCCUUUAGGAAUGUUCGCCCUUUAUUACUCGCAUGAUUACGAUGAACAAGUGAAAGUAAUCGAGAAGGCUUUGGUCAUUUGGGCACAGGCCAUGACGAAUCUUAAGAAGGAAGCAGAAAAUAAGAGAAUCCUUCUGCGACCAUCUUAUCAUUGUAAUCCCCAGAACGAUUCUGUAUGGAAAUACGGCAGCAUCGUUUACGAUCAACUAUUAAAGGCAAAAGUUAAACUGAAUUCCGGUGAGGAAACUAUAGAAUUUAAGAAGGAUGGAACACUGAAGAGUGUAUCUCUCAAGGUGCUCAACUUGAGACCCAAAAAUGAAAGAAGUGACGAAUGGGCGACAGUUGGGGAAUGGAAAUCUGGUAAGGAAGUUGAAAUGUACGAUAUAACUUGGCCGGGUAAUGCUCCAGCACCUCCUAUCGGUAGACCAGAAAAAUACCAAGUUAAGGUUGUCACAUUAAAAGAGGAUCCAUAUGUUAUAUAUAGCGAUCCCGAUCCCAAUACUGGUACAUGCCCACCUAUGGCCGUUUUAUGUCGUAUAGCAGCUAAAAAUUUAACUACGCUCGUGGCUAACGCUACUUCCGACCCGUCGCUGUACCAAUGCUGCUCCGGAUUAUGUAUAGACUUACUUAAGAUGCUGGCAGAGAAAAUUGGAUUUGACUUUGAACUAUUCGAAGUAAGCGAUAAAAUUUGGGGAGCCUACAACGCUGAUACGAAGGAAUGGAACGGCUUAAUUAAGGAUAUAUUAGACGGGAAAGCCGAUAUGGUGAUGACGUCGUUAAAGAUAACACCAGAAAGAUCAGCAGCUAUAGAUUUUAGUGUUCCCUUCCUAGAGACUGGGAUUACGAUUAUUGUUGCCGUCAGGGACGGAGUUAUCUCUCCAACAGCCUUCUUAGAGCCGUAUGAUUAUCCUUCCUGGUGCUUAAUUCUUGUAUUUAGUGUCCAUGCUUCUGGCGCCUCUAUUUUCCUAUUUGAAUGGUUAUCUCCAAGCGGCUUAGAUAGGGGGCAAAAGCCGUUGAAAGAACAUAGAUUUUCCCUCUUCCGGAGCUUCUGGCUAAUAUGGUCGAUGUUGUUCGGUGCUGCUGUUUCCGUUGACAACCCCAGAGGGGUGUCCAGUAGGUUUUUGGGGAAUAUUUGGGCCCUGUUCGCCGUCGUUUUUACAGCGAGUUAUACAGCUAAUUUAGCCGCGUUCAUGAUUACUAAAGAGGACUAUGACAGACUGAGUGGAAUACAGGAUUGGAGGUUACGGAACCCCAAAGCUCAUAAGCCUGCUUUUAAAUUCGCUACAGUGCCACAUGGAAGUACAGAAACUAAUUUAAAGAAUAAUUACCCUCAAAUGUACGAUUAUAUGAUGCCGUUCAAUAAAUCGACAGUUGAAGAAGGUGUUAAGGCUGUUAAAGAUGGUGAUAUUAAUGCAUUUAUAUACGAUGCCACUGUUCUUGAGUAUUUGGCCGGUCAAGAUGACGGCUGUAAGUUGAGGACUGUUGGCACUUGGUAUGCUAUGACGGGAUAUGGAAUAGGUUUUCCCAAAGGCAGUAAAUGGAAAAAAGUCAUCGAUAAAUACCUAUUACAAUUUCAGCAUGAAGCUAGGGAAAUGGAAAGGCUUCAAAAGUUUUGGUUAUCUGGAGCUUGUUCAACAAAGAAGGAUGAGGGAGAAAGUUCAAUGCCCCUAGGUAUAUUAAAUUUUACCUCUGCAUUUAUCCUUUUGGCUGGUGGUAUGCUAUUGGGCGCGGUUCUGCUUAUAUUAGAGCAUGUUUACUUUAAGUUCUUCCGAGUUCGACUUCGUAAAUGGGACAAAUGUGGUUGUUGUGGCCUGGUUAGCUUAUCCAUGGGAAAGUCAUUAACGUUCGAGCAGUCUGUAAAAGAAGCGAUCAAUCUCCAAAGGAAUUACAAAUGUAAGAACGCUCUAUGUGAGACGCAUCUUUGGAGAACUAAACACGAACUCGAUCUGGCUUUACUACACGUCGACAGAUUAGAAGCUCAAUUAAGUUCACUCGGAAUAGAACCAGAAAGAGUAUCAAAACUACCAUGUAACGGACUGGAGAGCAUAGAAGAUGAGCGGAAGAGACAGAGAAGAUUAAGGGCUAGGUCGCGAUCUUUACCAAGUUCACCAGCCAGAGGAGUUCGCGAUUCAUCUACACCGUCCAGGUUGAAAAGCAAUCGAGCCUGCUAUAUUCACCUCGAUGAUAAUUUCCUGACCAGCAUCGAGAAAGAGACGGUUUUAUGACGACCUUUUUAGGCGAUUAAUGCUCAACGAGGGAACAAACAAAGUGCACUACGUUAUGUUGCAUUUCUGACGAGUGUAGCAACCAGAAUGGUGUAUUGUAACAAUAAAAAUAACCGCACGAUUUUAUGCUGUAAAAAUAAGAAAAUAUACGUUUACAGUUAUAUUCUGUAUACAUUCAUAUUUAUAUAUUAAUAUUAAUAUUAUCUUUGAAUAAAAGGUAAAGAUGUUUUAAAUUA